GAUGAACGCUGGCGGCGUGCUUAACACAUGCAAGUCGAACGAUGAAGCCCAGCUUUCUGGGUGCUUUAGUUGCGAACGGGCGAGUAACACACGAGUAACCAGCCCUUCUCUCUGGGUUAAGCCUGUGCAACUGGGUCGAAUACUUGAUAUGACUUCUCAUCGCAUGGUUGGGGGUGGAAAGAAUUAUUGGUUUUGGAUGGCCUCGCGGUGCAUCAGCUAGUUGGUGAGGUAACGGCUCACCAAGGCGACGACGCGUAACCGACCUGAGAGGGUGACCGGCCACACUGGAACUGAGACACGGUCCAGAGGCCUACGGGAGGCAGCAGUAGCGAAUCGGGCGCAAUGGGGGAAAGACUGACGGAGCAACGCCGCGUGAGUGAUGAAGGUCCUCGGAGCGGGAAACUCGGUUAUUAGGGAAGAACAUAUGUGUAAGUAGCAGGGCACAGCUUGACGGUACCUAAGCAGAAAGCCACGGCUAACUACGUG
rnacentral:rRNA from 1 species